GUGAGGAAUAUUGGUCAAUGGGCGGAAGCCUGAACCAGCCAUCCCGCGUGCAGGAAGACGGCCCUAUGGGUUGUAAACUGCUUUUCCAGGGGGCGAAACUCUCCGACGUGUCGGGGUUUGACGGUACCCUGGGAAUAAGCAUCGGCUAACUCCGUGCCAGCAGCCGCGGUAAUACGGAGGAUGCGAGCGUUAUCCGGAUUUAUUGGGUUUAAAGGGUGCGUAGGCGGAUUAGUAAGUCAGUGGUGAAAACCUGCAGCUUAACUGUAGACUUGCCAUUGAUACUGUUAAUCUUGAGUGUGGUCAAGGAAGGCGGAAUGUGUAAUGUAGCGGUGAAAUGCUUAGAUAUUACACAGAACACCGAUUGCGAAGGCAGCUUUCUGGGCCAUUACUGACGCUGAUGCACGAAAGCGUGGGGAUCGAACAGGAUUAGAAACCCCAGUAGUCC
rnacentral:rRNA from 1 species